rnacentral:rRNA from 1 species
AAGUCGUAACAAGGUUUCCGUAGGUGAACCUGCGGAAGGAUCAUUAGAGAUUGGCCUCUGGCCGUGUCUAUUCCACACACACCGUGAACUGUGUACGUCUGGAGGCUCUCGGGCCCCCGAUGCAAAAACACCAAAACAAUGUGUGAUGAAUGUAAAACUAUCGUAACAAAAACAAAACUUUCAACAACGGAUCUCUUGGCUCUCGCAUCGAUGAAGAACGCAGCGAAAUGCGAUAAGUAAUGUGAAUUGCAGAAUUCAGUGAAUCAUCGAAUCUUUGAACGCACCUUGCGCCUCUUGGUAUUCCGAGAGGCAUGCCUGUUUGAGUGUCUUAUAUAAUCAAUCCCCAUGGGUUUCAUUACCUGGUGGUGGACUUGGACUUGGGUGUCUGCCAUCUGGCUCGCCUCAAAGACGUUAGUGGGAUAAGCUAGCUGCCUGUGGCUCGACGUGAUAAGUUUCGUCGGACCUGGCUCCUUAUGCCCGCUCAUAACCUGCCCUCGGGCACACUGUAUGCUAGACCUCAAAUCAGGUAGGACUACCCGCUGAACUUAAGCAUAUCAAUAAGCGGAGGAAAAGAAACUAACAAGGAUUCCCCUAGUAACGGCGAGUGAACCGGGAAGAGCUCAAAUUUGAAAUCUGGCGUGCUCCGUACGUCCGAGUUGUAAUCUAUAGAAGCGUUUUCUGUGCCGGACCUUGUCCAAGUCCCUUGGAACAGGGUAUCAAAGAGGGUGACAAUCCCGUACUUGACAUGGCCCCCGGCACUCUGUGAUACGUUCUCUACGAGUCGAGUUGUUUGGGAAUGCAGCUCAAAAUGGGUGGUGAAUUCCAUCUAAGGCUAAAUAUUGGCGAGAGACCGAUAGCGAACAAGUACCGUGAGGGAAAGAUGAAAAGCACUUUGGAAAGAGAGUUAAACAGUAUGUGAAAUUGUUGAAAGGGAAACGACUGAAGUCAGUCGUGAUGUUGGGAUUCAGCCGGCUCUGCCGGUGUAUUUCCCAGUGUCGGGUCAACAUCAGUUUUGACCGAUGGACAAGGAUGAUGGGAAUGUGGCUCCCUCGGGAGUGUUAUAGCCUGUCAUCACAUGUGUCGGUUGAGACUGAGGAAUGCAGCUUGCCGCAAGGCCGGGGUUCGCCCACGUCCGAGCUUAGGAUGUUGACAUAAUGGCUUUAAACGACC